rnacentral:tRNA from 1 species
CGGGUGGCGGAAUGGUAGACGCAGCGGACUUAAAAUCCGCCGCCCUUAAAAGCGUGAGAGUUCGAGUCUCUCCCCGGGCACCA